GGCAAAUAAGAUUAAUUAGUGUUCCUAAAAAAAAAUUAAGUCCAAAUUACGAAUGAAUUAAAUCAACCUUUUUCUUUUAUAGUAGUAUCUACUAAAACGUUGGCCAUGUUCUUUUGUUGAUUGCUGCGUCAGCUACCUGCGACCCAAAAAAAGUUCUCAUCUCUUUUUCACUUUCAUUUCUCAUUUUUUUCAUCUCUGCCGCAUCGACUGUAAUUCGGCCAUUCCGUAGACGCUGGAAUUUUCAGCGUCUCAAAUUCCCUUUCUCCUAUCUCUUCAGAUCUGUCGCUGCGACUCUUUCAUUCAUCUCACCUUCAUCUCUCUUUCUUUUUUUCUUUA